CAUUAAGAUACACGAUAAAACUAUCUAAUUGUUUAAUAUCUAUUCAGGGCAUUAUUUAAAUUGUAAAAACAGUUUAUUUUCUGUCGAAAGAGUGGCAAAUUUGGACCGUGAGACCUAGAUAUUUUGUUUUUUUACAAUCACGGAAAUAUAUAGAUAUUAGAGAGGUUGAGCAGCGCUACGUGUACACGUACGCCUACGUGUGAUAAGGGGAUUCCCCUGAAUGCCUGUGUAUUACGUCAUCACUAUUUGCUGACCUGUCAUCCUACAAGUUCCCUCUGACGCCUACUUCGAAGGAUACACUAUGGCACAACGCAAAACGCAAGUCAGGUUUUCUGAAAAAGACGAUGUCAAAUUGCCGAGGGAAGUGUUGGCUGCCAACCCGUUCAAAGACAAGGGAAAAUGGCAAACAGCAGCAGACAACUUGACAAGUACACGGUCAGACUUCAAAGUCGAUGCUAGGCGAGUUAGGGAGAGGACGCACUUGAUGUUAGACCACUU